rnacentral:rRNA from 1 species
AACGCGAAGAACCUUACCUAGCCUUGACAUGUAUUUAGUAGAACCAUGAAAGUGGGACGAGGUAGCAAUACCAGGAUACACAGGUGCUGCAUGGCUGUCGUCAGCUCGUGUCGUGAGAUGUUGGGUUAAGUCCCGCAACGAGCGCAACCCUUAUGAUUAGUUGCCGUAAAAGGCUCUCUAGUCAGACUGCCCUGUGAAACGGGGAGGAAGGUGGGGAUGACGUCAAGUCAGGAUGGCCCUUACGGCUAGGGCUGCACACGUACUACAAUGCUCAGUACAGAGGGAAGCAAGACCGCGAGGUGGAGCAAAUCCUAUAAAACUGAGCCCAGUUCGGAUUGGAGGCUGCAACUCGCCUCCAUGAAGCCGGAAUCGCUAGUAAUGGCGCAUCAGCUACGGCGCCGUGAAUACGUUCCCGGGCCUUGUACACACCGAGACGAC